rnacentral:rRNA from 1 species
UACGAAGGGGGCUAGCGUUGCUCGGAAUCACUGGGCGUAAAGGGUGCGUAGGCGGGUCUUUAAGUCAGGGGUGAAAUCCUGGAGCUCAACUCCAGAACUGCCUUUGAUACUGAGGAUCUCGAGUUCGGGAGAGGUGAGUGGAACUGCGAGUGUAGAGGUGAAAUUCGUAGAUAUUCGCAAGAACACCAGUGGCGAAGGCGGCUCACUGGCCAGAUACUGACGCUGAGGUGCGAAAGCGUGGGGAGCAAACAGG